rnacentral:misc_RNA from 1 species
UUUUAUGUCACUGACAGUCUGCUUGAGCUGCUUUGCAGGACCGGCUGGCUUUCCAUGAUCUUUGGAAUGGGUAGCUCCGGCUUCUUUCAAAAUAGAAACAAGCUCCGGAGUUCCAAACUUUUCUGCAAUCUCAAGAACUGUUUCUCCAGCCUUAUUAAGCGUGUUAAGAUCAAUGCCCUCAAUUGAUAUAAGACAUUGUACCAUCUGUAUUCGUCCCUUUCUUGUUGCAAUAUGAAGUGCUGUGUUUCCUUUGUUAUCUUCCAAGGCCAAAACAGCAGGAUUUGGUUUGAUUAAUUCGAGUACGAUGUCAACAUUUUGUCCCUUUGCAGCCAUGUGCAAGGCAGUCUGGCCUUUUUUAUCAGUUCUAAAGCCAAUUUCAGGAUCCUUGCUAAGAAGGGAUCUAACUAUCUCCAAGUGUCCCAUUCUUGCUGCUGUAUGUAGCACAGUCUUUCCGUUGUUCCGAGCUAUCUUAGCAAGGUUAGAAUCAAUCUCCAGAAGCAUAUUUACUACAUGAAUAUGUCCCUGUGCAGCUGCAGUGUGUAACGCAGUAGAAUUCGAUGAAUCUGUGGUCAUGACUAAGUUUGGAAAGGAAUGCAGCAGUUCCUGUAGUACAUCAAGAUGACCCUGCCUUGCUGCAACAUGAAGUGUAUCAUAACCAUUAUUCGCCACAAUAGAAGCAAUUUCAAGGUCUAAAUGUUUCAAGAACUCUGCAACAACCAAACUAUGACCAUUCUCAGCAGCAACAUAUAAAGCAGUCUCUCCCUCUUGGUUUUGCUGACACAACAAAUCUUUUAUGCCUUUUUCAUCAAACUUCUGAAUAAUUUCUUUCACCUUCCCUAAAUUCCCAGCUCUAGCUGCAAGAUGCAACGGGGAAUCCCCACGUUUCCCCGGUGAAUCCUUACCCCUUUUCCUCUCACCACCAAAACUCAUUUGCCUCUCCAUUGCUAUCCUAAAACUUUUCUGUUUUUCCAUUAUUCCUAUAAAGCUCUUCUGCUUCUCCAUCGCCCCGUUUUGAAAACUUUGCUGUUUUUCCAUUUUUGCACCCUGGAAACUAACCUGUUUCUCCAUGAUCAUAACCCCCAAAAUCCUAAUGGAUUUCUUGUAUAUUAGACCAAAAAUAACAACUUUUUCCACUUUCAAGAACUACAAAGAUCGAAACUUUUCAUCAUUAUCAAUUCAAUUUGGAAAGGGAUAUACUAAGUUACAAUAACAACAACAUAGUACAUACCCCGUGAAAUCCCACAAGCACAGUCCGUAGAGAGUAGAAUGUAGGCAAACCUUAUCACUACCUCACGGAAACAUCCAAAAGAUGAAAGAUCCUCAGCUCGAGUAAUCCCACAAGUAGAGUCCGUAGAGAGUAGAGUAUAGGCAAACCUUACCACUACCUCAUGAAAAAAUCCGAAAGAUAAAAGAUCCUCAGCUCGAGUGCAGCAAAUCCAAAUACAAAGGGAUAUACUAAGAUACCAAAAAUUAUCACCUUUCCCACAUUUCUAGCUAAGAAUCUAUAAAAAAAAACCUGGCACAAACAAAAUUUGAAGCAAAUUUAAAGAACCCUUUAUACUAUUUAAGUCUUGGAGCUCUCUACUAAAUCACAAGUCCAGAAAAAAACAAUCUUUACAGUGAACUUACAGAACUAAAAAGCAUAUCUAGAACUCAAAUCAGACAAAAAAAGAACCUAUCUUUCAACAAAUAUAAGGCUCAAACUUCCCUAUUGAUUACCCCCAAAAGCUAAAAAUCAGAUGAAAUCUUGAAAAAGAAAACUUAGGAAUAUCAAGAACAGGAAACACAAAUAAAAACAAAAGAGCAGUAUAAGGCAACAAAAGGGUCACUGAAUCCAAUGGUUUUGC